CAAAAAAUAUUUGUUAAAUGUUGAUACUUACACGAGGGGUAGGUGUAGAGCGAGGCACAGGCUGCUGCAAAGGAGGAGAAACAGAAGGAGAAGUGCUAGGAGGAGGGUGCUGCAAAGGAGAAGGAGAGGCAAAAGGGCGAGGAGGAGGGUGCUGCAAAGGAGAAGGAGAGGCAAAAGGGGGAGGAGGAGAGUGCUGCAAAGGGCGAGGAGGAGGGUACUGCAAAGGGCGAGGAGGAGAGGCAAAAGGGCGAGGAGGAGGGUGCUGCAAAGGAGAGGGAGAGGCAACUCUUGUUCCAUUUUCUACGACAAGU
rnacentral:lncRNA from 1 species